GACGAACGCUGGCGGCGUGCUUAACACAUGCAAGUCGAACGGAAAGGCCCUGCUUUUGUGGGGUGCUCGAGUGGCGAACGGGUGAGUAACACGGGAGUAACCUGCCCUUGACUUUGGGAUAACUUCAGGAAACUGGGGCUAAUACCGGAUAGGAGCUUCUGCUGCAUUGUGGGGGUUGGAAAGUUUCGGCGGUUGGGGAUGGACUCGCGGCUUAUCAGCUUGUUGGUGGGGUAGUGGCUUACCAAGGCUUUGACGGGUAGCCGGCCUGAGAGGGUGACCGGGCACAUGGGGCCUGAGAGACGGACAAGACUCCAACGGGAGGCAGCAGUGGGGAAUAGUGCACCAUGGGCGGAAGCCUAAUGCAGCAACUCCGAGUGCGUGAUGACGGCCUUCGGGUUGUACCCCGCUGUCGACUGUGACGACGCGUGAGUGACGGUAAUGGGUAAAGAAGCACCGGCUAACUACGUG
rnacentral:rRNA from 1 species